GUGACACCAUCAGCAUUUCCUUUCUUACUGGGGCUGAGCUCCCUCCACGAGGUGAUCUCUCUUCUUUGACCUAAGCUUUUCCCACUGUAUCCACCAGUGACCUGCCCCUGAGGAAGGCAAGGCAAGCAACUGACGGUCCAGAGUUGGGAACAAGCUGCCUGGUGGAGGAGGGGACCCAAUAUAUCUUUCAGCACCUUGGAAACUGGAAAGUACCCAGAAGCAGAACCUCAAGGAGACAAGAAUAAACAGGAAAAGCUGACACUGAGUCCCCAGAGUCCUGAGCAGCCCUGAAAGGAAAAGCAAAGGGAUUCUUACAUCUUCGAUGUCAGUGGAAUCAUUUCAUCUAUGCCACUAACUUUGCCAAACUUGCUUGAUUUUAUAAAUUACACCGGGGUGCUGAUUUUCCUAGUCUUCAAUAAAGGUGUUUCCCUCAUGGAAGUCUACAAAGCACCUGAAAGCAGGCAAGAUAUUUCCACGCACCCACUUUCUCUGACUUCCAAUUUGGUUUCAUGUCCUGUGUCAUACUUUUAGCUGAACGAGUAUUAUGAGCAUACAUCUUAAAAAAAUCUAUGGAACUUAA